AGAACAGACAAUAAAAGUGAGAAAAAAACCCACGUGCAGUCUUAAAAUUAUCAAGUGGCCAACUAAGUGUAUUAAAAGUUAUAAAAAAACUUAUACGAACACGGCUAAGAAUAAGACAGUGGAACCAAGUUUCGAGUGCGUACAGAAGUGCGUAAAAAGCAUGGAAAUCGCAGCUCUUUGAUUGCUGAUUUUUACGGAGUGCAUAGUGUAGUUUCCAGGCAGAAUAAAGGUAUUGUCGGCUAGCACUAUAGCACGCCCACGUACCUCCAAGACACGCGGUGUACACGCACAUACACAUGUGCAGGCAUAAGUACAGGCGCUGCGGCUACACACAUAUGCAUACCUAUGUGCAUUUAGGCAUAGGCGCUGCCGACAGGAACCGCAAGCUGCCAAAAGUUCUUAUCUGUGGAUCGCACGUAAACGGCGCGAAGGCCUGAUCUGCGAAGUAGAGACAAAGAGAGACAAGGAAGAUGAAGCCAGAACACGUGGAGUAAGCAGAUAAAGAAGACAGAGAAGUAGAGAAGAGAAAAUCGCCCCAUGUAGCAGUUCAUUGGGCCCAACGAUCUUCUUGGCGACAACAAUGCGGUAAUAAAUAAAUAAAUAAAUUUAGGUGAUUAAAAACUAAAAUAGUAUGGUAACUUGGUAAAAUUUCUAGAGUAAAGGUCGGAAUUUUUAGGAAGAA
rnacentral:sRNA from 1 species